UGAGGAAUAUUGGUCAAUGGGCGAGAGCCUGAACCAGCCAAGUCGCGUGAAGGAAGACUGCCCGCAAGGGUUGUAAACUUCUUUUGUAUGGGAUUAAAGUCACCUACGUGUAGGUGUCCGCAGUUACCAUACGAAUAAGCAUCGGCUAACUCCGUGCCAGCAGCCGCGGUAAUACGGAGGAUGCGAGCGUUAUCCGGAAUUAUUGGGUUUAAAGGGUGCGUAGGUUGCAAGGGAAGUCAGGGGUGAAAAGCUGUAGCUCAACUAUGGUCUUGCCUUUGAAACUCUCUAGCUAGAGUGUACUGGAGGUACGUGGAACGUGUGGUGUAGCGGUGAAAUGCAUAGAUAUCACACAGAACUCCGAUUGCGCAGGCAGCGUACUACAUUACAACUGACACUGAAGCACGAAAGCGUGGGUAUCAAACAGG
rnacentral:rRNA from 1 species